CAGUCGCCGCGGGAAUACGGAGGGUGCAAGCGUUAAUCGGAAUUACUGGGCGUAAAGCGCACGCAGGCGGUCUGUUAAGUCAGAUGUGAAAUCCCCGGGCUCAACCCGGGAACUGCAUUUGAAACUGGCAGGCUGGAGUCUUGUAGAGGGGGGUAGAAUUCCAGGUGUAGCGGUGAAAUGCGUAGAGAUCUGGAGGAAUACCGGUGGCGAAGGCGGCCCCCUGGACAAAGACUGACGCUCAGGUGCGAAAGCGUGGGGAGCAAACAGGAUUAGAUACCCCUGUAGUCCCUGUCUCUUAUAU
rnacentral:rRNA from 1 species